AGACACACACACACACACACACACACACACACACACACACACACACACAAUCUCCAGUGUCAAGAGAUUUUAAUGAGGGGAACAAUUAAAGGUGCAAUAUGUAUGAAUUGGCCUUUUGAAUUCAUGCACAAAACAAAUGCAGAACAUGAGCAGGUUAGCCGCUAACUGCUGCUAAUUGUAGCUGCUAACUGUAGCUGCCGUUAGAUUGUUAGCUCAGUUAGCUGUGCAGCCACCGGUGUGGACUGGGAGCUCUGAACACUGGAGAAGUGUUAGCACAGGAGCUUUGGACCAGAAUGGACCAGGGCUAAUUACAAUUAGACCAGGAAAAGAAAGAGCUGUAAAAAAUAAUACAAUUAUCAUUUAUGAAAGGAAGACAAUGUUAGCAGUCUGGCUAUAGUCAGCAACCUGGCUACAGCUAGCAGUCUGGCUACAGUCAGCAGCCUGGCUACAGCUAGCAGCCUGGCUACAGCUAGCAGUCUGGCUAUAGUCAGCAGCCUGGCUACAGCUAGCAGCCUGGCUACAGCUAGCAGCCUGGCUACAGCUAGCAGUCUGGCUACAGUCAGCAGUCUGGUUUGAUCUAUGAACUCUGAUCUCAGGUCUGUGUAAAGUCAGACUCAGUCAGCGGGUCGUAUUACUCAGUCGGCAGGUUCUGAAGCGUCUCUGGUCUGAGAGGAGACACAGAUCAACACAGGAACAGACUGUGACACAACACCUGAGCGUCUCCAUCAGUGAGCGUCUGUGUGUUCGCUCUUGUUUCACCUCGACUUCUCUCCUCACCUUCUUCACCUCCUCCAUCAGCAGCCUCUUCUUCUGUAGUGCAGAGUGUCACCAGUUACUCAGGUUGUUCAUUGUGACCUGCAAAGAGUGACCGGGGAGAACUGUGACUCUGGUGUCAGACUGAACAUCACAGUGAACCGCAUGUUUCAAACCUUCUUCUUGGUCGAGUGUUUUCUUUGUUCAGUGGAGUAAAUUCAUCUCCUGAUUGAACUCACGUGACUGAAGACACAGUUUCCUCUGCAGAUGUUCACUAUUCAGGUGAAACCAAUAAAAGGCUGCAGCUGGUCACUGAUUAGUUUAUUGAGGUGGUGCAGCAGGUGACUGAGGUGUGAGUGUGUGAGCAGCAGGACCUGGACGCUCCAAUCGCUCUGCACCGUCUAUCUCCUCUCUGGGAAAUUAUUCAUCAGUCUCUCUGCUGAGAGCUUUUAACGUCGGUGAGGAGACGCACACGUCUUCAUAAAACCAGAUGAAACAGAUUCCCCAGCCACUCCACAUGAAAGAGAGCGGCCAGAUACUGAACAUCCUCGUGUGGCGCCGUCGUACAUGUAUGCAGGAGAGACGAGGCAGCGGCGGCUCCUCCCGGCCACUCUGUCAAUAUCUGAAGUCAGUUGCGUGAGCUUGAAAAGACAUAAUGCAAUCCUCCUGAUGUGUUACAGAAACCUGCAGUCAGACCGUCUCAUCUCCACUUCACGUCACCUGACAGCUGAUCCUGGAUAAGCAUGCAGCUCACCACCUGAUUUGUCAGUUUACUUCUUUGUCCCCGUGGAGAAAGUCCCCAGACUCCCUUAACAAAUGUGUCAGUUUAGUGAGUUGUUGAGUUAAAACAAACUUUAUAAACUCUGUGAAACUCUG